UGUUUUUGGAGUGUCAGCUGAGGUCAGCCUGCUCUACAAUACUGCCUUCAGCUGCCUCUUCCUGGUUGGGAGUGAGGAGGAGGAAGAGGGGCUUUUUCUAGUUCCUGUUGCUCAUUGCUUGAGUCUAUGCUGUCCAAGAUGUGGCUGCUUUGGGAGGACACAGAACUGGAGGGAGACCGAACUUAUCUGGACCUUAGUGAUUGAUUAAGAAGAAAAUGAUGCUUCAGAUUCAAAAUCAUUCACCAAAUGGGAGAAGUAAAUAACUAUCGUCAGUUAAGGAAGGAAGCAGCAUUGAUGACAAUGCCUCAAGGAAAUCCAGGGAUAAGAAAUUCAACCAGGCUUUGCAAGAGACUAAAGCUAAGAGCAUCCAAACCAAGGCAGUCAAGACAACCCAGAAACCAAGGUGCAUGGACAGCAUACACACUGUGAAGUUAUCCUUAUAUGCUUGACUUCUGAGUAUUUCCAGUCAAGGUAUAGACUUUUUGUUUGUUUGUUUGUUUCUUGGGACUGUACUCACGGCAUAUGGAAGUUCCCAG